CGCUUGGAACCCAAAAAGCCAAAUGGAAUUAUGGGUUGCACCAAAAGGAGCAUGGCCAGCAGCUCACAGGAGGCAAUUCAGCACCUCUGCUCUUGGGAAAUCCCACCUGAGACACUGCAUUCAGCUCCCAACAUAAAAAGGACAGGGCCCUGUUGGCACAAAUCCAGACAAGGGCCACAAAGAUAAGGCAGCUGGAGCACCCCUCCUAUGAAGAUGGGCUGGAAGAGCUGGGACUGUUCCCCUGGAGAAAAGAAGGUGGAAUAUUUGGCAGAACAGCAAACAAUUCUACCGAAAAACACAUCUCUUCUCCCACCCAAGGCACAAGGUUAAAAAACAACAGAGUUACUGAAGAACCCUGUUGUAGCUCACUUUGAUUGGAAUUACCAUGGGAAAGCCUCUCCUGUAUCAUUUGGAGCUUGAGACUCAACCACAUUAUGUAACAAAUACUCUAUUUAAGCCUUUGUCAAUGUAGUUAUACAAGUACACUGCUUCACAGAAGACAACUUGGACAAAUAAAAAGAAUUGGUGCUUAACUGAUCCACCCAAAUCCUAAUCCAUGCUUCACAGUAGC